UACGAAGGGACCUAGCGUAGUUCGGAAUUACUGGGCUUAAAGAGUUCGUAGGUGGUUGAAAAAGUUGGUGGUGAAAUCCCAGAGCUUAACUCUGGAACUGCCAUCAAAACUUUUCAGCUAGAGUAUGAUAGAGGAAAGCAGAAUUUCUAGUGUAGAGGUGAAAUUCGUAGAUAUUAGAAAGAAUACCAAUUGCGAAGGCAGCUUUCUGGAUCAUUACUGACACUGAGGAACGAAAGCAUGGGUAGCGAAGAGGAUUAGAUACCCUCGUAGUCCAUGCCGUAAACGAUGUGUGUUAGACGUUGGAAAUUUAUUUUCAGUGUCGCAGUGAAAGCGAUAAACACACCGCCUGGGGAGUACGACCGCAAGGUUAAAACUCAAAUGAAUUGACGGGGACCCGCACAAGUAGUGGAGCAUGUGGUUUAAUUCGAAGAUACGCGCAGAACCUUACCAACACUUGACAUGUUCGUCGCGACUCUAAGAGAUUAGAGUUUUCGGUUCGGCCGGACGAAACACAGGUGCUGCAUGGCUGUCGUCAGCUCGUGUCGUGAGAUGUUGGGUUAAGUCCCGCAACGAGCGCAACCCUCACUUUUAGUUGCCAUCAUUAAGUUGGGCACUCUGAAAGAACUGCCAGUGAUAAGCUGGAGGAAGGUGGGGAUGACGUCAAGUCCUCAUGGCCCUUACGUGUUGGGCUACACACGUGCUACAAUGGUAUCUACAACAGGAGGCAAGACUGCGAAGUUAAGCAAAUCCCUAAAAGAUACCUCAGUUCGGAUUGCACUCUGCAACUCGAGUGCAUGAAGCUGGAAUUACUAGUAAUCGCGGAUCAGCGUGCCACGGUGAAUACGUUCCCGGGUC
rnacentral:rRNA from 1 species